rnacentral:rRNA from 1 species
GUGGGGAAUAUUGGACAAUGGGGGCAACCCUGAUCCAGCGAUGCCGCGUGUGUGAAGAAGGCCUGCGGGUUGUAAAGCACUUUAGUUAGGGAGGAGAAGGAUUGUGUGAAUAAUGCAAUUCUGAGACGUUACCUAAAGAAUAAGCACCGGCAAACUCUGUGCCAGCAGCCGCGGUAAUACAGAGGGUGCAAGCGUUAAUCGGAGUUACUGGGCGUAAAGGGCACGUAGGCGGUUAUGUAAGUCAGUUGUGAAAUCCCCGGGCUUAACCUGGGAACUGCAAUUGAUACUGUGUGACUAGAGUCGAAGAGAGGGAAGCGGAAUUUCCGGUGUAGCGGUGAAAUGCGUAGAUAUCGGAAGGAACAUCUGUGGCGAAGGCGGCUUCCUGGCUUCAGACUGACGCUGAGGUGCGAAAGCGUGGGUAGCGAACAGGAUUAGAUACCCGGGUAGUCC